GACGGACGCUGGCGGUGUGCUUAACACAUGCAAGUCGAACGGUAAGGCCCUUUCGGGGGUACACGAGUGGCGAACGGGUGAGUAACACGUGAGUAACCUGCCCUCAUCUCUGGGAUAACAGUCGGAAACGGUUGCUAAUACUGGAUAUGAGCUUGCAAGGCAUCUUGUGGGUUGGAAAGAUUUUUUUGGUUGGGGAUGGACUCGCGGCCUAUCAGCUUGUUGGUGAGGUAGUGGCUCACCAAGGCUUCGACGGGUAGCCGGCCUGAGAGGGCGACCGGCCACAUUGGGACUGAGAUACGGCCCAAGCUCCUACGGGAGGCAGCAGUGGGGAAGAUUGCACAAUGGACGGAAGUCUGAUGCAGCAACGCCGCGUGCGGGAUGACGGCCUUCGGGUUGUAAACCGCUUUCAAUUGUGACGAAGCUUUUUGUGACGGUAGCAGUAGAAGAAGCACCGGCUAACUACGUG
rnacentral:rRNA from 1 species